rnacentral:rRNA from 1 species
GACGAACGCUGGCGGCGUGCCUAAUACAUGCAAGUAGAACGCUGAAGGAGGAGCUUGCUCUUCUGGAUGAGUUGCGAACGGGUGAGUAACGCGUAGGUAACCUGCCUGGUAGCGGGGGAUAACUAUUGGAAACGAUAGCUAAUACCGCAUAACAGUAGAUGUUGCAUGACAUUUACUUAAAAGGUGCAAUUGCAUCACUACCAGAUGGACCUGCGUUGUAUUAGCUAGUUGGUGGGGUAACGGCUCACUAAGGCGACGAUACAUAGCCGACCUGAGAGGGUGAUCGGCCAGACUGGGACUGAGACACGGCCCAGACUCCUACGGGAGGCAGCAGUAGGGAAUCUUCGGCAAUGGACGGAAGUCUGACCGAGCAACGCCGCGUGAGUGAAGAAGGUUUUCGGAUCGUAAAGCUCUGUUGUAAGAGAAGAACGAGUGUGAGAGUGGAAAGUUCACACUGUGACGGUAUCUUACCAGAAAGGGACGGCUAACUACGUG